rnacentral:lncRNA from 1 species
GACGCUGACGACGGUGAGGCUGGUGCCGUCGACGGCGACGAAGCCCUUGGGCACGAGCAGCCUGAGGAUCUCCGGCGGCGCGCGCACGGUGACCCAGAGCGAGUCGCCGUCGGGCCGGAACGCCGCGAUCUCGCCGGUCCCGUCCACGUGGCCCUGCACGAAGUGCCCUCCCAUCCGGGACGACGGCGUGAGCGCGCGCUCGAGGUUGACGCCGUCGCCCGGGGCGCGCUCGCCCAGGGACGUCCGGCGGAGCGUCUCCGGGGCCACGCCGAAGGUGAGCGUGGAGGCCGCCGGGUCGAUCGCCGCCACGGUGAGGCAGGUGCCGUCGACGGCCACGCUGUCCCCGAGCUGCGUCCCGG